AUCCAUAAGUAUUCCGCAACCAUGCCGCAACUGUGCAGGCUGCCUCCCGGAGUGUAUGAAAGGUUUCGCCGUUUUGUAUCGUAGUGCGAAGGCUUUCGUCCACUACAUAAUUAAAAGGUGGUAUUUGGUAAGGGUGGUAUUUGGUAAGCGUUCGUACGAUAGAGUCACCCGUUCCUGUGGAGUCGAUGCCGCAGCCCUUUUCGACAGCGCCAGCUAUCCCCAUGAACAGGUCGCUCGAAUUGAGCGAGGAAAUUUUAGUGCACUUGUGACCUGUAUUCAAGAAAACCAUAUUAUGACUGCAAACGCGAAAGAACCCGAUGUUGGCAGUGGAUCCGCAUGAUAUCAACAUCGCCGACGUCAAGGGAUUUGUUUUGGAUAAAUUGCAAAUAGCAAAUUGCAAAGGUGUUAAUCUAGAAAGUUUACUGUGCUACGGGGAAGGAGACGGAAUCGGAUCCGAAUGGGAUGGAAGUGUUAAUCCCACGUGCUUAUAGCAUUGGUGGCCGCGCGUAAUGUUUCUGGUGGAUCUGUCAUUGAGCACCAUGGCCCCUUCGCAAUGAUAAUCCCUCGGUUGCCAGCGUUCUGCCUGCGCUGGAGACUAAAGGCGUCAUUCCAGAGAAACGUUCGGUUCAAUUCGUUCCAGAACAAGAGGUUGCGACGGGUGCCAGUGAAUCUUUUACGGUUAGCCAAACAAUUUGAUCAGAUAGCACAGUUGUCAGUGGAAACCAGAAGGUAAACAGUUACAUUCGAGCAUGCCAACGGGAAAUCGCAGACGGCUGUUGUCGAGGAUUGAUCCUGAGUGAUCCUGGAAGGAAUACUUUACCGUUAUUGUCUAUCCAUGGAUUUCCGCAUCUGUGGAUGUUAUAGUGCAUUUUGCGCCUGGCUGAUGAUAUGGACUUGCCACUUGCCCCAUUCUUGCGGGAACGGCGAUAUGCCUUUGAUAUCGGCAAUAAUAUAACGAGUUUGCCGGUUUCUUGGAGUGGAAUUCCCGCAUUUUCUACUGCUACUGUAUUGUUUAAAUCCAAAACCCUUGGGGAUCGUGUUUGCAGAUUCCGACUGGAAUAUUACGUUCUGCCUUCUGGCGACAAGGCUACGAUCUAGCCCAAUAUCAUGUGUAUUUCAAGGGACUUUGGAAAACGUUGCUGAAACUUAAUGCGUGCCACCUUUCAGACAUCCUUCUAUUACAGUAAAUCAUUUAAAUGCAAAUGCAUUCUGGUAAUUAUUCAGCUAGAUUUCUUUAAUGAAUGAUUGCUCUGCUUACCAUAAAUGUUGAGUGUGUAUAUAGUGGUAUGUGGGUAUUACUUGCCGCGUUAACUGCUGAAAACUGAUUUGUUGUGAUAUGUCGAGUGAUUUGAUGAAAGUGAUUGUCAUCAUGCAUAACCUCGCGUAAAAUGCAGUUUUCUUCUCCAUAUACUGUUUGUCUUUCAGUUAGUUACCAUCACCAGUGUCGUUGGUGACUUACAAGUUGCCACCGGAUUUUGGUAAUGUCCAUAAUCAUACUGCAAACCAUUUUUUUUGUUU